rnacentral:rRNA from 1 species
UACGUAGGGUGCAAGCGUUAAUCGGAAUUACUGGGCGUAAAGCGUGCGCAGGCGGCUAUGCAAGACAGAUGUGAAAUCCCCGGGCUCAACCUGGGAACUGCAUUUGUGACUGCAUGGCUAGAGUACGGCAGAGGGGGAUGGAAUUCCGCGUGUAGCAGUGAAAUGCGUAGAUAUGCGGAGGAACACCGAUGGCGAAGACAAUCCCCUGGGCCUGUACUGACGCUCAUGCACGAAAGCGUGGGGAGCAAACAGG